GACGAACCGAGCGAACGUUGUUCGGAAUCACUGGGCUUAAAGGGCGCGUAGGCGGGUGCUCAAGUCCGGGGUGAAAUCCUCCAGCUCAACUGGAGAACUGCCUCGGAUACUGGGUGCCUCGAGUGUGGUAGGGGUGUGCGGAACUAUCGGUGGAGCGGGUGAAAUGCGUUGAUAUCGAUAGGAACUCCGGUGGCGAAGGCGGCACACUGGACCACACUGACGCUGAGGCGCGAAAGCCAGGGGAGGCAAACGGG
rnacentral:rRNA from 1 species